CAACGUCUUCAGGGCGGGGCGAAACUCCCCACCGGCGGUAGGUCGACCGGCUCCAGCAGCCACGACGAGCCCGCGAGCGCCCCCGGCAAUCCAGCGCCGGGGGGUCAGCAGAUCCGGUCCGAUGCCGGAGCCGACGGUCACAGUCCGGAUGAAAGAAGACGGCU
rnacentral:ncRNA from 1 species